UGGGGAAUAUUGGACAAUGGGCGAAAGCCUGAUCCAGCUAUGCCGCGUGAGUGAUGAAAGUCUUAGGAUUGUAAAGCUCUUUCAGUAGGGAUGAUAAUGACAGUACCUACAGAAGAAGCCCCGGCUAACUUCGUGCCAGCAGCCGCGGUAAUACGAAGGGGGCUAGCGUUGUUCGGAAUUACUGGGCGUAAAGGGUGCGUAGGCGGACUAUUAAGUCAGAGGUGAAAUCCCAAGGCUCAACCUUGGAACUGCCUUUGAUACUGGUAGUCUUGAGUUCGAUAGAGGUGAGGAGAAUUCCGAGUGUAGAGUUGAAAUUCGUAGAUAUUCGGAGGAAUACCGGUGGCGAAGGCGCCUCACUGGGUCGAUACUGACGCUGAUGCACGAAAGUAUGGGGAGCAAA
rnacentral:rRNA from 1 species